rnacentral:rRNA from 1 species
AUUGAACGCUGGCGGCAUGCCUUACACAUGCAAGUCGAACGGCAGCACGGGUGCUUGCCCCUGGUGGCGAGUGGCGAACGGGUGAGUAAUACAUCGGAACAUGUCCUGUAGUGGGGGAUAGCCCGGCGAAAGCCGGAUUAAUACCGCAUACGAUCUACGGAUGAAAGCGGGGGACCUUCGGGCCUCGCGCUAUAGGGUUGGCCGAUGGCUGAUUAGCUAGUUGGUGGGGUAAAGGCCUACCAAGGCGACGAUCAGUAGCUGGUCUGAGAGGACGACCAGCCACACGAGGACUGAGACACGGCCCAGACUCCUACGGGAGGGCACAGUGGGGAAUUUUGGACAAUAGGCGAAAGCCUGAUCCAGCAAAGCCGCGGGUGUGAAGAAAGCCCUGGGGGUUUAAAGCACUUUUUUGCGGAAAGAAAUCCUUUGCCCUAAUACGGUCGGGGGAUGACGGUACCGGAAGAAUAAGCACCGGCUAACUACGUG